CAGCAGCCGCGGUAAUACGUAGGGUGCGAGCGUUAAUCGGAAUUACUGGGCGUAAAGCGUGCGCAGGCGGUUGUGUAAGACAGGUGUGAAAUCCCCGGGCUUAACCUGGGAACUGCGCUUGUGACUGCACAGCUAGAGUAUGGCAGAGGGGGGUGGAAUUCCACGUGUAGCGGUGAAAUGCGUAGAGAUGUGGAGGAACACCAGCGGCGAAGGCGACUCUUUGGCCUAUAACUGACGCUGAGGCGCGAAAGCGUGGGGAGCAAACGGGAUUAGAUACCCCCGUAGUCCCUGUCUCUUUACA
rnacentral:rRNA from 1 species